rnacentral:sRNA from 1 species
UUAUCGUAUAACUUCUUAUAACUCGGCCGACCAUCCUUAACUCAACCAUACCGUUGCCUGAGUUAUACUAUAACUCAGUCAACAUUUUACAACUCAGCCGUAACGUCUGGCUGAGUUAUACUCAUACUUCGCCGUUUUGUUAUGACUCAUAUAUUUUUGACGUAAGUCAGCGGCAACAUACCGUAACUCAGCCGUAACUGCCGCUGUAUCGCGUUACGGCUGAGUUCAUUUAAUCCACGUCAGCAAAUUCUGACGUGGCAGUGGCAUUCCCUGUAAUUACGUUUUUUCCGGUAACGUUUAGUAGGGGCACGUUGGGUAAUAAAAAAAAGUCAAAAAUAUAACAGUUAUUAAAAAAAGUUCUGUCGUGUUCUGGUAAUAACACCUAAUUUCUUACCCAUCACAGUUAAUCUCCCAAUAAAAAUUCAUAAAAUCACAUACCCGAGUUAACGG